rnacentral:rRNA from 1 species
UACGGGGGGGGCAAGCGUUGUUCGGAAUUACUGGGCGUAAAGGGUUCGUAGGUGGCCAACUUAGUCAGACGUGAAAUCCCUCAGCUUAACUGGGGAACUGCGUCCGAUACUGGAUGGCUUGGAUUUGGGAGAGGGAUGCGGAAUUCCAGGUGUAGCGGUGAAAUGCGUAGAUAUCUGGAGGAACACCGGUGGCGAAGGCGGCAUCCUGGACCAAUAUUGACGCUGAGGAGCGAAAGCUAGGGGAGCAAACGGG